rnacentral:rRNA from 1 species
UUCCACAAUGGACGCAAGUCUGAUGGAGCAACGCCGCGUGAGUGAAGAAGGGUUUCGGCUCGUAAAGCUCUGUUGUUAAAGAAGAACGUGGGUGAGAGUAACUGUUCACCCAGUGACGGUAUUUAACCAGAAAGCCACGGCUAACUACGUGCCAGCAGCCGCGGUAAUACGUAGGUGGCAAGCGUUAUCCGGAUUUAUUGGGCGUAAAGCGAGCGCAGGCGGUCUUUUAAGUCUAAUGUGAAAGCCUUCGGCUCAACCGAAGAAGUGCAUUGGAAACUGGGAGACUUGAGUGCAGAAGAGGACAGUGGAACUCCAUGUGUA